GGGGAAUCUUGCGCAAUGGGCGAAAGCCUGACGCAGCAACGCCGCGUGGGGGAUGAAGGCCUUCGGGUUGUAAACCUCUUUCACCAUCGACGAAGCCCUUUGGGGUGACGGUAGGUGGGGAAGAAGCACCGGCUAACUACGUGCCAGCAGCCGCGGUAAUACGUAGGGUGCGAGCGUUGUCCGGAUUUAUUGGGCGUAAAGAGCUCGUAGGCGGUUUGUCGCGUCGGCCGUGAAAACCUACAGCUUAACUGUGGGCUUGCGGUCGAUACGGGCAGACUUGAGUUCGGCAGGGGAGACUGGAAUUCCUGGUGUAGCGGUGAAAUGCGCAGAUAUCAGGAGGAACACCGGUGGCGAAGGCGGGUCUCUGGGCCGAUACUGACGCUGAGGAGCGAAAGCGUGGGGAGCGAAC
rnacentral:rRNA from 1 species